rnacentral:rRNA from 1 species
CAGUCGCCGCGGGAAUACAGAGGGUGCAAGCGUUAAUCGGAAUUACUGGGCGUAAAGCGCGCGUAGGUGGUUUGUUAAGUUGGAUGUGAAAGCCCCGGGCUCAACCUGGGAACUGCAUCCAAAACUGGCAAGCUAGAGUACGGUAGAGGGUUGUGGAAUUUCCUGUGUAGCGGUGAAAUGCGUAGAUAUAGGAAGGAACACCAGUGGCGAAGGCGACCACCUGGACUGAUACUGACACUGAGGUGCGAAAGCGUGGGGAGCAAACAGGAUUAGAUACCCGGGUAGUCCCUGUCUCUUAUAC